rnacentral:rRNA from 1 species
GGGUUGUGAGGUUAAGCGACUAAGCGUACACGGUGGAUGCCCUGGCAGUCAGAGGCGAUGAAGGACGUGCUAAUCUGCGAAAAGCGUCGGUAAGGUGAUAUGAACCGUUACAGCCGGCGAUGUCCGAAUGGGGAAACCCAGUGCAAUUCGUUGCACUAUCGUUAACUGAAUACAUAGGUUAACGAGGCGAACCGGGGGAACUGAAACAUCUAAGUACCCCGAGGAAAAGAAAUCAACCGAGAUUCCCCCAGUAGCGGCGAGCGAACGGGGAGCAGCCCAGAGUCUGAAUCAGCUUGUGUGUUAGUGGAACGGUCUGGAAAGUCCGACGGUACAGGGUGAUAGUCCCGUACACCAAAAUGCACAGGUUGUGAACUCGAAGAGUAGGGCGGGACACGUGGUAUCCUGUCUGAAUAUGGGGGGACCAUCCUCCAAGGCUAAAUACUCCUGACUGACCGAUAGUGAACCAGUACCGUGAGGGAAAGGCGAAAAGAACCCCGGCGAGGGGAGUGAAAAAGAACCUGAAACCGUGUACGUACAAGCAGUGGGAGCACCUUCGGGUGUGACUGCGUACCUUUUGUAUAAUGGGUCAGCGACUUAUAUUCUGUAGCAAGGUUAACCGUAUAGGGGAGCCGCAGGGAAACCGAGUCUUAACUGGGCGUUAAGUUGCAGGGUAUAGACCCGAAACCCGGUGAUCUAGCCAUGGGCAGGUUGAAGGUUGGGUAACACUAACUGGAGGACCGAACCGACUAAUGUUGAAAAAUUAGCGGAUGACUUGUGGCUGGGGGUGAAAGGCCAAUCAAACCGGGAGAUAGCUGGUUCUCCCCGAAAGCUAUUUAGGUAGCGCCUCGUGAACUCAUCUUCGGGGGUAGAGCACUGUUUCGGCUAGGGGGUCAUCCCGACUUACCAACCCGAUGCAAACUACGAAUACCGAAGAAUGUUAUCACGGGAGACACACGGCGGGUGCUAACGUCCGUCGUGAAGAGGGAAACAACCCAGACCGCCAGCUAAGGUCCCAAAGUCAUGGUUAAGUGGGAAACGAUGUGGGAAGGCACAGACAGCCAGGAUGUUGGCUUAGAAGCAGCCAUCAUUUAAAGAAAGCGUAAUAGCUCACUGGUCGAGUCGGCCUGCGCGGAAGAUGUAACGGGGCUAAACCAUGCACCGAAGCUGCGGCAGCGACACUAUGUGUUGUUGGGUAGGGGAGCGUUCUGUAAGCCUGCGAAGGUGUGCUGUGAGGCAUGCUGGAGGUAUCAGAAGUGCGAAUGCUGACAUAAGUAACGAUAAAGCGGGUGAAAAGCCCGCUCGCCGGAAGACCAAGGGUUCCUGUCCAACGUUAAUCGGGGCAGGGUGAGUCGACCCCUAAGGCGAGGCCGAAAGGCGUAGUCGAUGGGAAACAGGUUAAUAUUCCUGUACUUGGUGUUACUGCGAAGGGGGGACGGAGAAGGCUAUGUUAGCCGGGCGACGGUUGUCCCGGUUUAAGCAUGUAGGCUGAUUGUCCAGGCAAAUCCGGAUAAUCAAGGCUGAGGUGUGAUGACGAGGCACUACGGUGCUGAAGUAACAAAUGCCCUGCUUCCAGGAAAAGCCUCUAAGCAUCAGGUAACAUUAAAUCGUACCCCAAACCGACACAGGUGGUCAGGUAGAGAAUACCAAGGCGCUUGAGAGAACUCGGGUGAAGGAACUAGGCAAAAUGGUGCCGUAACUUCGGGAGAAGGCACGCUGGUGUGUAGGUGAAGCCCCUGCGGGUGGAGCUGAGACCAGUCGAAGAUACCAGCUGGCUGCAACUGUUUAUUAAAAACACAGCACUGUGCAAACACGAAAGUGGACGUAUACGGUGUGACGCCUGCCCGGUGCCGGAAGGUUAAUUGAUGGGGUUAUCCGUAAGGAGAAGCUCUUGAUCGAAGCCCCGGUAAACGGCGGCCGUAACUAUAACGGUCCUAAGGUAGCGAAAUUCCUUGUCGGGUAAGUUCCGACCUGCACGAAUGGCGUAAUGAUGGCCAGGCUGUCUCCACCCGAGACUCAGUGAAAUUGAACUCGCUGUGAAGAUGCAGUGUACCCGCGGCAAGACGGAAAGACCCCGUGAACCUUUACUAUAGCUUGACACUGAACAUUGAGCCUUGAUGUGUAGGAUAGGUGGGAGGCUUUGAAGCGUGGACGCCAGUCUGCGUGGAGCCAACCUUGAAAUACCACCCUUUAAUGUUUGAUGUUCUAACGUUGGCCCCUUAUCGGGGUUGCGGACAGUGUCUGGUGGGUAGUUUGACUGGGGCGGUCUCCUCCCAAAGCGUAACGGAGGAGCACGAAGGUUAGCUAAUCCUGGUCGGACAUCAGGAGGUUAGUGCAAUGGCAUAAGCUAGCUUGACUGCGAGCGUGACGGCGCGAGCAGGUGCGAAAGCAGGUCAUAGUGAUCCGGUGGUUCUGAAUGGAAGGGCCAUCGCUCAACGGAUAAAAGGUACUCCGGGGAUAACAGGCUGAUACCGCCCAAGAGUUCAUAUCGACGGCGGUGUUUGGCACCUCGAUGUCGGCUCAUCACAUCCUGGGGCUGAAGUAGGUCCCAAGGGUAUGGCUGUUCGCCAUUUAAAGUGGUACGCGAGCUGGGUUUAGAACGUCGUGAGACAGUUCGGUCCCUAUCUGCCGUGGGCGCUGGAGAAUUGAGGGGGGCUGCUCCUAGUACGAGAGGACCGGAGUGGACGCAUCACUGGUGUUCGGGUUGUCAUGCCAAUGGCACUGCCCGGUAGCUAAAUGCGGAAGAGAUAAGUGCUGAAAGCAUCUAAGCACGAAACUUGCCCCGAGAUGAGUUCUCCCUGAGACUUUAAGUCUCCUGAAGGAACGUUAAAGACGAUGACGUUGAUAGGCCGGGUGUGUAAGCGCAGCGAUGCGUUGAGCUAACCGGUACUAAUGAACCGUGAGGCUUAACCUUACAACGCCGAAG